rnacentral:tRNA from 1 species
AUUUAAAUAACUUAUAUUAGAGUAUAAUAUUGAAAAUAUUAAUGAGAUUUUUUAAUCUUUAAAUA